rnacentral:lncRNA from 1 species
AGACAAGGCUGGACAUGAACUCACAGGGAUCCACCUGCCUCUGCCUGCUGCUGAGUGCUGGGAUUAAAGGUGGUUCCUCAGACCCUGUUUGACUGUCCCGCAUGUCGGGACACCUGGCAUUGAGGUCAGCUCUGCAAUACUGAGCAGGGUGGAAAGCACCAGGAAGGGCAAAUGGUGCAACAACCUGAGCACCUACUAUGUUCCCUGACACACCAACCCAUAAGUGUCUAACAGGAUUUCUGUGCAAGGCCAUGGUUCCUGCCAUAGCAAGAACUGGCUCUAAGCAUCCUGGUUCUAAGGAUGCUGGUUUCCAACUGACUGCCGAGAAGCCAGUCCAGCUGGGUGAUCCACUCCACACAGGGUUCUUGGAAGAUGAGGAGAAGGUGAAAGGCAGAGAACAGAAGCUGUAAGUUCCACACUGGUGAGUCCUGAGUUGGAAGGUGGUGAUGGAAGGGCAGAAACAGGGAGGCAGAGGACCUGGGUCCUUGGUGGGACUCAGUGUCCCCAUAACAAACUACAUAUGAAACCCUUCUGCCAUUAGGGCCUCUCUAUCAUAAGCUGAUUUUAUAAUCAAAACAGAACAUUAAAAUCCAAUCUGAAUUUCUCUCUCUUUCUGAAUCUGUCUGACUGUCUAUCUGUCUAUAUGUCUCAUCUAUUUAUCUCUGUCUCUGUCUCUGUCUUUCUAUCUCUGUCCCCCUACCCCUUAUGCCUGACUUCAUAUUUAACUCCACCUGACCUUUUUGUUCCAUAGUAAUCAGGUGAAGUGUGUGUGGGGGUUGUGGUUGCUUGUUUAGUUAUUGAUUGGUUUUUUGAGGCAGGGUUUCUCUCUGUAGACCUGGCUGUCCU